UAGGGAAUCUUCCGCAAUGGACGCAAGUCUGACGGAGCAACGCCGCGUGAGUGAAGAAGGGUUUCGGCUCGUAAAACUCUGUUGUUAAGGAAGAACACUUUAGGUAGUAACUGGCCUAGAGAUGACGGUACUUAACCAGAAAGCCACGGCUAACUACGUGCCAGCAGCCGCGGUAAUACGUAGGUGGCAAGCGUUAUCCGGAAUUAUUGGGCGUAAAGCGCGCGUAGGCGGUAGAAUAAGUCUGAUGUGAAAGCCCCCGGCUCAACCGGGGAGGGUCAUUGGAAACUGUUUUACUUGAGUGCAGAAGAGGAGAGUGGAAUUCCAUGUGUAGCGGUGAAAUGCGCAGAGAUAUGGAGGAACACCAGUGGCGAAGGCGGCUCUCUGGUCUGUAACUGACGCUGAGGUGCGAAAGCGUGGGGAUCAAACA
rnacentral:rRNA from 1 species